rnacentral:lncRNA from 1 species
UGAUGGGCAUGUCGAUAAAUAGCAGUUAGUUUACCAUCGGAAAGACUCUAGUUACCCUUUAAAAUCAUAUUUAAUGUCUAGAGAGGAGAGGAAAGCUAUAUCUUUAUUAAGUCGGUAUGUCUUGGAUGUUUGGUAAAAUUGUUUUUGAAAGCACCCAAGUUCAAAGUUAAGUUAUAUUAGUUAUCUAGCUAUGGAGAUUUGGUAAUAGAAGAUAAUAUAAAUUUGUUUUAAAUGAAUGUACUUAAUAGUAGCCAAUCUAAUAUUUUAGAAAUGUUUGGGAAAUUAAUAGUUUGGGUAGCUUAGAAAGUAUAAAAGGUUUGAAGAGAAAAACAACUUAUUUCUUUGAAGGUUUCCCCAAAAUCUGUUUAUGAACAUGAAGCUGUGCUUUCUGGCAGGUCAUUUUAAAGCCCCAGAUUGUGUUUGGCCACGUGGAUGCUGUACCAUUCCUGCUCUGCCUGCUGAGUCAGGAUGCUCUGCCAAUGGGUGAGUCAUGCAUCCUGCAACUGCUGCAAGCCUACUGUUCCUGGCUCGGCAAUCAUCUGCGUUGCUCUCUAACCCAGACAAACACCAAGAAGCUCAGCUCAGGGAAGCCUUGGAAAGAAGAGACAAAUUCAACCACCAUCUGGAAACAAGCUGUGAAGGAAACACCUUCUCCAUAAGAAAAUAGAAAAGAAACAGGAGGCCAA